rnacentral:rRNA from 1 species
CCUGAGAAACCCAAAAGAUCGAAUGGGGAGAUUCAUCGUCAGCGGUGCUGGUAUGCGCGCGGUACGCGAUGCCGGAGACUUCGGUCUCGUGGCACGCGUCCGCGCGUUUGUAUUGCCUGGCAUCGUCGGCGUGCACUUCUCCCCUAGUAGGACGUCGCGACCCGUUGGGUGUCGGUCUACGGCCCGGGUGGGCGCCUGUCUUGUGUGAUGCCUCACGGUGUCUCUGCGAGGCAGACCCCCGGCUGCCCGACCGGCUGCCCGGCGGUAYUCGCACGGUAUCCGGCCGCAAAUAUUCGAACUGCGUCCGGCCCGUCGCAAGCGAGGCAAGUGUUUCCCGAAUGUACGGAUCUAAUGCCGUCAUCGGGCCUAGCCAGCUGUUGGCUGACGGUGUCCUAGGACUGGCUGUAACAAUUAUGAUACCGGUCAGCGACGCUACUGCUUUGGGUACUUUCAGGACCCGUCUUGAAACACGGA